GGAGUCUGGGCCGUAUCUCAGUCCCAAUGUGUCCGUUCACCCUCUUAGGCCGGAUACCCAUCAUCGCCUUGGUAAGCCUUUACCUCACCAACUAGCUAAUGGGCCGCGGGCCGCUCCCUGCGCGGAGCAUUCGCUCCUUUCAUUGCCUUAACAUCACUUAAAGCAAUCGUAUGCGGUAUUACCCGGCAUUUCUGCCGGCUGUCCCCCUCACAGGGGUGCGUCACCCACGUGUUACUCACCAGUCCGCCGCUCUCAACAGUAGCAAGCUACUGUUUCCCGCUCGACUUGCAUGCUUAAGACGCGCCGCCAGCGUUCGUUCUGAGCCAGGAUCAAACUACU
rnacentral:rRNA from 1 species